AGCGAACGCUGGCGGCAGGCCUAACACAUGCAAGUCGAACGCCCCGCAAGGGGAGUGGCAGACGGGUGAGUAACGCGUGGGAACAUACCCUUCGGUUCGGAAUAACUCAGGGAAACUUGGGCGUAAUACCGGAUACGUCCGUGAGGAGAAAGAUUUAUCGCCGAAGGAUUGGCCCGCGUAAGAUUAGCUAGUUGGUGAGGUAACGGCUCACCAAGGCUAUGAUCUUUAGCUGGUCUGAGAGGACGAUCAGCCACACUGGGACUGAGACACGGCCCAGACUCCUACGGGAGGCAGCAGUGGGGAAGUAUUGGACGAAUGGGCGCAAGCCUGAUCCAGCCAUGCCGCGUGAGUGAUGAAGGCCUUAGGGUUGUAAAGCUCUUUUCGGCGGGGACGAUAUGACGGUACCCGCAGAAGAAGCCCCCGGCUAACUUCGUGCCAGCAGCCGCCGUAAC
rnacentral:rRNA from 1 species